rnacentral:tRNA from 1 species
UUGUUGACCAGGACGUCGAUGGGCCCGGCCGCCUCGAACGCGGCGGUGAUGGUCCGGGGCUCGGUCACGUCGAGCUCGACGAC